UCCUCGGUAGUAUAGUGGUGAGUAUCCCCGCCUGUCACGCGAGAGAUCGGGGUUCGAUUCCUCGCCGGGGAG
rnacentral:tRNA from 1 species